UGUUGUAUCACUCUUUGCUUAUUCCUUUGCUGUAGUAUCAACUUGAAAUAUGAGAAUAAUCUUUAAGCUCAAUCACAAUUCAAGAUUUAUCAGCAUUUUGAAGAAGAUGGUGUUUCAACAUUGCUCUAAAAGGAAAGUGAAAGUGAGGAUGAUGGUCUUGACAUGGGUGAUGAUGAUGAUGUUGAGGAACCUGAAAAUGAACCAGAGGCUGUUAGGAAAGAACCAACCAUUAAGAAACCUGCUCCUGUUUCAGCACCACCCAAAGAUGUUGAAAGGCAACUGUCAAAGAA